AUUGAACGCUGGCGGCAGGCCUAACACAUGCAAGUCGAGCGGCGCGGCGGACGGGUGAGUAAUGCCUAGGACUGUGAAUGGUCGUGGGGGAUAACGUCCGGAAACGGGCGCUAAUACCGCAUACUAUCAGAUGAACCUGGGCCGGAUUAGCUAGUUGGUGGGGUAAAGGCCUACCAAGGCGACGAUCCGUAACUGGUCUGAGAGGAUGAUCAGUCACACUGGAACUGAGACACGGUCCAGACUCCUACGGGAGGCAGCAGUGGGGAAUAUUGCACAAUGGGCGAAAGCCUGAUGCAGCCAUGCCGCGUGUGUGAAGAAGGUCUUCGGGUUGUAAAGCACUUUAAGUUGGGAGGCGUUACCAGCAGAAUAAGCACCGGCUAACUCCGUGCCAGCAGCCGCGGUAAUUC
rnacentral:rRNA from 1 species